rnacentral:rRNA from 1 species
AACGAACGCUGGCGGCAGGCUUAACACAUGCAAGUCGAGCGCCCCGCACGGGGAGCGGCAGACGGGUGAGUAACGCGUGGGAAUCUACCCUUCACUACGGAACAACUCCGGGAAACUGGAGCUAAUACCGUAUACGUCCUUCGGGAGAAAGAUUUAUCGGUGAUGGAUGAGCCCGCGUUGGAUUAGCUAGUUGGUGGGGUAAUAGCCUACCAAGGCGACGAUCCAUAGCUGGUCUGAGAGGAUGAUCAGCCACAUUGGGACUGAGACACGGCCCAAACUCCUACGGGAGGCAGCAGUGGGGAAUAUUGGACAAUGGGCGAAAGCCUGAUCCAGCCAUGCCGCGUGAGUGAUGAAGGCCCUAGGGUUGUAAAGCUCUUUCACCGGUGAAGAUAAUGACGGUAACCGGAGAAGAAGCCCCGGCUAACUUCGUGCCAGCAGCCGCCGUAA